AUCAGAAAAUUUAAAUUUGUUUAAGCAGAUAAGGGACAUUUUGCAGAUGUUCAGGCCAUUUCAAAAUCCAUCAGGGUAAAAUGCCUGAAUUUCGAAAAGGAAUAUAUUUUGGAUCAUGUUACUUUUUUACAGUAGCAGGUGACAUUAAUAGAUGUGGAACAAGGUGCUGUCUCAACUAUUACGAAUACUGGAAUGGUUCAUGUUUAGAAUGCCCUCUAGGCACACAUGGCCUUAAUUGCUCUGGAGAGUGUGUCCCUGGAUAUUUUGGAAAGUUCUGUCAAACGAAAUGUCGCUGCAAUAUCGAAUUGUGCAAUAAAAAAUAUGGCUGCCUGAAAGAUAAAAACCAGCCAAU